rnacentral:rRNA from 1 species
GCAAUGCGAGAAAUCGCGACGGGGGGACCCCAAGUGCCACUCUUAACGGGGUGGCUUUUCUUAAGUGUAAAAAGCUUUUGGAAUAAGGGCUGGGCAAGACCGGUGCCAGCCGCCGCGGUAACACCGGCAGCUCUAGUGGUAGCCAUUUUUAUUGGGCCUAAAGCGUUCGUAGCCGGUUUGAUAAGUCUCUGGUGAAAUCCUGUAGCUUAACUGUGGGAAUUGCUGGAGAUACUAUUAGACUUGAGGUCGGGAGAGGUUAGCGGUACUCCCAGGGUAGGGGUGAAAUCCUGUAAUCCUGGGAGGACCACCUGUGGCGAAGGCGGCUAACUGGAACGAACCUGACGGUGAGGGACGAAAGCCAGGGGCGCGAACCGGAUUAGAUACCCGGGUAGUCCUGGCCGUAAACGAUGUGGACUUGGUGUUGGGAUGGCUUCGGGCUGUUUCAGUGCCGAAGGGAAGCUGUUAAGUCCACCGCCUGGGAAGUACGGUCGCAAGACUGAAACUUA